AUACGUAGGGGACGAGCGUUGUCCGGAAUUACUGGGCGUAAAGGGCGCGCAGGCUGUGCUGCAAGUCAGCUGUUAAAUGUCUGGGCUUAACCCGGGCAUGCGGUUGAGACUGCGGUGCUGGAGUGCUGUAGAGGCAAGUGGAAUUCCCAGUGUAGCGGUGAAAUGCGUAGAUAUUGGGAAGAACACCGGUGGCGAAGGCGACUUGCUGGGCAGCAACUGACGCUGAGGCGCGAAAGCCAGGGGAGCAAACGGGAUUAGAUACCCCGGUAGUCCUGGCCGUAAACGAUGAAUGCUAGGUGUGGGUGUAGAGAUACAUUCGUGCCGGAGUUAACGCGAUAAGCAUUCCGCCUGGGGAGUACGGUCGCAAGAUUGAAACUCAAAUGAAUUGACGGGG
rnacentral:rRNA from 1 species